rnacentral:rRNA from 1 species
UGAACUCCACAUCCGCAUCCUUUGCUGAGGAUACGGUUAACGGAGCGAAAGCGACGUUCAACCGCAAAACAAGCAGAGGGGGCUUAGUGGUGGGGUGACUGCGUACCUUUUGUAUAAUGGGUCAGCGACUUAUAUUCUGUAGCAAGGUUAACCGAAUAGGGGAGCCGGAGGGAAACCGAGUCUUAAUUGGGCGUUAAGUUGCAGGGUAUAGACCCGAAACCCGGUGAUCUAGCCAUGGGCAGGUUGAAGGUUGGGUAACACUAACUGGAGGACCGAACCGACUAAUGUUGAAAAAUUAGCGGAUGACCUGUGGCUGGGGGUGAAAGGCCAAUCAAACCGGGAGAUAGCUGGUUCUCCCCGAAAGCUAUUUAGGUAGCGCCUCGUGAAUUCAUCUCCGGGGGUAGAGCACUGUUUCGGCUAGGGGGCCAUCCCGGCUUACCAACCCGAUGCAAACUGCGAAUACCGGAGAAUGUUAUCACGGGAGACACACGGCGGGUGCUAACGUCCGUCGUGAAGAGGGAAACAACCCAGACCGCCAGCUAAGGUCCCAAAGUCAUGGUUAAGUGGGAAACGAUGUGGGAAGGCCCAGACAGCCAGGAUGUUGGCUUAGAAGCAGCCAUCAUUUAAAGAAAGCGUAAUAGCUCACUGGUCGAGUCGGCCUGCGCGGAAGAUGUAACGGGGCUAAACCAUGCACCGAAGCUGCGGCAGCGAACGUAUCACCCAAGACAACUUUACGGAGUUGACGAUUGACGGAGCGAAGCGACGUCAAAGCGUUCAUUAAAGUCGAGUUGGCUUAGGGAUACGUUCGUUGGGUAGGGGAGCGUUCUGUAAGCCUGUGAAGGUGUGUCGUGAGGCAUGCUGGAGGUAUCAGAAGUGCGAAUGCUGACAUAAGUAACGAUAAAGCGGGUGAAAAGCCCGCUCGCCGGAAGACCAAGGGUUCCUGUCCAACGUUAAUCGGGGCAGGGUGAGUCGACCCCUAAGGCGAGGCCGAAAGGCGUAGUCGAUGGGAAACGGGUUAAUAUUCCCGUACUUGGUGUUACUGCGAAGGGGGGACGGAGAAGGCUAUGUUGGCCGGGCGACGGUUGUCCCGGUUUAAGCGUGUAGGUGUGUGUUCCAGGUAAAUCCGGUUCACUUUAACACUGAGGCGUGACGACGAGGCACUACGGUGCUGAAGCAACAAAUGCCCUGCUUCCAGGAAAAGCCUCUAAGCAUCAGGUAACAUCAAAUCGUACCCCAAACCGACACAGGUGGUCAGGUAGAGAAUACCAAGGCGCUUGAGAGAACUCGGGUGAAGGAACUAGGCAAAAUGGUGCCGUAACUUCGGGAGAAGGCACGCUGACACGUAGGUGAAGUGAUUUACUCAUGGAGCUGAAGUCAGUCGAAGAUACCAGCUGGCUGCAACUGUUUAUUAAAAACACAGCACUGUGCAAACACGAAAGUGGACGUAUACGGUGUGACGCCUGCCCGGUGCCGGAAGGUUAAUUGAUGGGGUCAGCGCAAGCGAAGCUCCUGAUCGAAGCCCCGGUAAACGGCGGCCGUAACUAUAACGGUCCUAAGGUAGCGAAAUUCCUUGUCGGGUAAGUUCCGACCUGCACGAAUGGCGUAAUGAUGGCCAGGCUGUCUCCACCCGAGACUCAGUGAAAUUGAACUCGCUGUGAAGAUGCAGUGUACCCGCGGCAAGACGGAAAGACCCCGUGAACCUUUACUAUAGCUUGACACUGAACAUUGAGCCUUGAUGUGUAGGAUAGGUGGGAGGCUUUGAAGUGUGGACGCCAGUCUGCAUGGAGCCGACCUUGAAAUACCACCCUUUAAUGUUUGAUGUUCUAACGUGGACCCGUAAUCCGGGUUGCGGACAGUGUCUGGUGGGUAGUUUGACUGGGGCGGUCUCCUCCUAAAGAGUAACGGAGGAGCACGAAGGUUGGCUAAUCCUGGUCGGACAUCAGGAGGUUAGUGCAAUGGCAUAAGCCAGCUUGACUGCGAGCGUGACGGCGCGAGCAGGUGCGAAAGCAGGUCAUAGUGAUCCGGUGGUUCUGA